ensembl:snRNA U4 U4 spliceosomal RNA
AGCUUUGCCCAGUGGCAGUAUCGUAGCCAAUGAGGUUUAUCCGAGACGCGAUUACUGCUAAUUGAAAUAAGUUAAAUAAGUUUUUUUUCCCCCCUAUAGAAUAAAGAUCUAUGCUUCAGGAGUCCAUGAACUCUUGGGAAGCAUCUUGUGC